CAAACAACCAAAAUAAACCAAAAUAAACAAAAACAGAGUCAGAUGUAAGGAUCAAGCAAGGUAGGGGUUAUUGUUUGACUUUCGUUUUCCUUUGUAUUAGUAUUUUCUAAAGAUUUAGCCUAGUGGUGGCAGCACAUGCCAGCACUCAGGAGGCAGAGGCAAGCGGAUCUGAGUUCCAGGACAGCCAGUGCUACUCAGGGAAACCCUGCCUUGAAAAACAAAACAAAAAAGUAAAGUCCUUCUUUUUAUCUUAGUUUCCCAUUCCCAUAUUUCUCAGCACCCCUCCGUCUUCCUUAUCUGUAAAGUUAAGAUGUCACUCUUUGGGCUAGAGAGAUGGCUCAGUGCUUAAGGGCACUGACUGCUCUUUCAGAGGUCCUGAGUUCAAUUCCCAGCAACCACAUGGUGGCUCACAACCAUCUGUAAUAGGAUCCUGUGCCCUCUUCAAGUAUGCAUGCAGGCAAAACUCUAUACAUAAUAAAUAAAUCUUCUUUAAAAAAAAUAAAAUAAAAUAAAAUAAAAAGAGAUGUUAGGCUGGAGAGAUGGUUCUGUGGUUAAGAGCAUUGGCUGCUCUUCCAGAGGACCCAGGUUCAAUUCUCAGUACCCACAUAGCAGCUCACAACUGUCCAUAACUCCUGUUCUAGCACCCUUACAUAGGCAUAUAUGUAGUCAAAACACCAUUAAACAUAAAAUAAAAGUAAAUUAUUUUUAAAAA
rnacentral:lncRNA from 1 species